rnacentral:rRNA from 1 species
CAUAUGCUUGUCUCAAAGAUUAAGCCAUGCAUGUCUAAGUACAUACCUGCCUAAGGUGAAMCYGCGRAUAGGAUCAUUAAAUCAGUUACGGUUCCUUAGAUAUUAACAAUCUACAUGGAUAACUGUGGUAAUUCUAGAGCUAAUACAUGCACAAAAGCUUUGACCCUACGGGAAAAAGCGCAUUUAUUAGACCAAGAUCAAUGGGAUCCUUCGGGGUUCCUUUGUAUGGUGACUCUGGAUAACUGUGCUAAUCGCAUGGCCUAUGUGCCGGCGAUGAAUCUUUCAAGUGUCUGCCUUAUCAACUGUCGAUGGUAGGUUAUGCGCCUACCAUGGUUGUAACGGGUAACGGGGAAUCAGGGUUCGAUUCCGGAGAGGGAGCCUGAGAAACGGCUACCACAUCCAAGGAAGGCAGCAGGCACGCAAAUUACCCACUCCCGGCACGGGGAGGUAGUGACGAAAAAUAACAAUACGGGACUCUAAUGAGGCCCCGUAAUUGGAAUGAGUACAAUCUAAAUCCUUUAACGAGGAUCUAUUGGAGGGCAAGUCUGGUGCCAGCAGCCGCGGUAAUUCCAGCUCCAAUAGCGUAUAUUAAAGUUGUUGCGGUUAAAAAGCUCGUAGUUGGAUCUCAGUUCACGUUAAGUGGUCCACUUGCCGGUGGUUACUACUUAACUGAACAUCUUACAGACCUGUCUUGUGAUGCUCUUCACCGGGUGUCAUGAGCGAUCUGUACAUUUACCUUGAAAAAAUUAGAGUGCUUAAAGCAGGCGUAACGCCAGAAUAAUCUUGCAUGGAAUAAUGGAAUAGGACCUCGGUUCUAUUUUGUUGGUCUUCGGAAUCUGAGGUAAUGAUUAAGAGGGACAGACGGGGGCAUUCGUAUUGCGGCGCUAGAGGUGAAAUUCUUGGACCGUCGCAAGACGUACUACAGCGAAAGCAUUUGCCAAGAAUGUUUUCAUUAAUCAAGAACGAAAGUUAGAGGUUCGAAGGCGAUCAGAUACCGCCCUAGUUCUAACCAUAAACGAUGCCAACCAGCGAUCAGCCUGAGUUCUAUUAAUGACUCGGCUGGCAGCUUCCGGGAAACCAAAGUUUUUCGGUUCCGGGGGAAGUAUGGUUGCAAAGCUGAAACUUAAAGGAAUUGACGGAAGGGCACCACCAGGAGUGGAGCCUGCGGCUUAAUUUGACUCAACACGGGAAAACUUACCCGGCCCGGACACUGGGAGGAUUGACAGAUUGAGAGCUCUUUCUUGAUUCAGUGGGUGGUGGUGCAUGGCCGUUCUUAGUUGGUGGAGCGAUUUGUCUGGUUAAUUCCGAUAACGAACGAGACUCUAGCCUACUAAAUAGACUGUCGACUCAUUCGCGUUGACAGGACUUCUUAGAGGGACAGGCGGCGAUACAGCCGCACGAGACAGAGCAAUAACAGGUCUGUGAUGCCCUUAGAUGUCCGGGGCCGCACGCGCGCUACACUGAAGUGAUCAGCGUGCAUAGUUAACCCUCUCUGACAAGAGUGGGUAACCCAAUGAACCUUCUUCGUGAUAGGGACUGGGCAUUGUAAUUAUUGCCCAUGAACGAGGAAUUCCCAGUAAGCGUGAGUCAUAAGCUCGCGUUGAUUACGUCCCUGCCCUUUGUACACACCGCCCGUCGCUACUACCGAUUGAAUGAUUUAGUGAGGACUUCGGACUAGCCGGUGCAGCUGCCUUCGGGUGGCCGCGCUGUGCCGGAAAGAUGUCCAAACUUGAUCAUUUAGAGGAAGUA